rnacentral:rRNA from 1 species
AUUGAACGCUGGCGGCAGGCCUAACACAUGCAAGUCGAGCGAGCGGCGGACGGGUGAGUAAUGUCUGGGCACCUGCCUGCUGGAGGGGGAUAACUACUGGAAACGGUAGCUAAUACCGCAUACAAUAAGACGUGCCCAGCUGGGAUUAGCUAGUAGGUGGGGUAACGGCUCAACUAGGCGACGAUCCCUAGCUGGUCUGAGAGGAGGACCAGCCACACUGGAACUGAGACACGGUCCAGACUCCUACGGGAGGCAGCAGUGGGGAAUAGUGCACAAUGGGCGCAAGCCUGAUGCAGCCAUGCCGCGUGUGUGAAGAAGGCCUUCGGGUUGUAAAGCACUUUCAGCGGGGAGGCGUUACCCGCAGAAGAAGCACCGGCUAACUCCGUGCCAGCAGCCGCGGUAAUUC